AUUGAACGCUGGCGGCAGGCCUAACACAUGCAAGUCGAGCGGCAGCGGGAAAGUAGCUUGCUACUUUUGCCGGCGAGCGGCGGACGGGUGAGUAAUGCCUGGGGAUCUGCCCAGUCGAGGGGGAUAACUACUGGAAACGGUAGCUAAUACCGCAUACGCCCUACGGGGGAAAACAGGGGACCUUCGGGCCUUGCGCGAUUGGAUGACCCCAGGUGGGAUUAGCUAGUUGGUGAGGUAAUGGCUCACCAAGGCGACGAUCCCUAGCUGGUCCGAGAGGAUGAUCAGCCACACUGGAACUGAGACACGGUCCAGACUCCUACGGGAGGCAGCAGUGGGGAAUAUUGCACAAUGGGGGAAACCCUGAUGCAGCCAUGCCGCGUGUGUGAAGAAGGCCUUCGGGUUGUAAAGCACUUUCAGCGAGGAGGAAAGGUUGGUAGCUAAUAACUGCCAGCUGUGACGUUACUCGCAGAAGAAGCACCGGCUAACUCCGUGCCAGCCGCCGCCGUAA
rnacentral:rRNA from 1 species